rnacentral:tRNA from 1 species
GCCGGAGUGGCGAAAUGGCAAACGCAGCGGACUUAAAAUCCGCCGCCUUCGGGCUUGAGGGUUCGAUUCCCUCCUCCGGCACCA